AUAAAGUUUAAUUUUAGCUUAAAAAUUUAUUUAAUUUUUUAUUUACAUGUAAAUUUUAGAGGGUAUUUAAAAUUAUUUUAAAUAAAUAGUUUUAUUUUUUUUUUAUUCGCAGUAUAAAGUUUUAUUUAUUUAUGAAAUUAAGAAUUAUAAAAAAAUUAUAUUAUUGACAAAAUUUGUGCCAGCAGUUGCGGUUAUACAAAAAAUAUAAAUAAAUUUUAUUGAUUAGUAAUAAAAAGAUUUGAUUUAUUUAAAAUUAGAUUUAUAUGGUGAAAUUUAAAAUUUAAAAUAAUUAUAAUUGAAUUUUUUGAUUUUAUUAAAUUUAAGGUUUAAACUAGGAUUAGAUACCCUAUUAUUUUAAUUGUAAAAAUAUUCAUUUAAGUAGUAUUAGUUAUGACCUUGAAAUUUAAAAAUUUUGGCGGUAUUUUAGUCUAUUCAGAGGAACCUGUCCUAUAAUUGAUAUUCCACGAUAAAUUAAACUUAACUUAUUAAUUUGUAUAUCGUCGUUGUUAAGUAUUUUAUAAGAAUUUAAUAUUUAAGAUUUUAUAUAAGAAAUUAUUUCAGAUCAAGGUGCAGUUUAUAGUUAAGAAGAGAUGGGUUACAAUAAAUUUAUUUAUAUGGUUUUAUAUAUGAAAAUUUAUAGAUAAAGUGGAUUUGAUAGUAAUAAUAUUAAAAUUAAUUUUAUGGUUAAAGCUCUAAAAUGUGUACAUAUCGCCCGUCGCUCUUAUUAUAAAAUAAGAUAAGUCGUAACAAAGUAGAUGUACUGGAAAGUGUAUCUAGAAUGA
rnacentral:ncRNA from 1 species